rnacentral:rRNA from 1 species
GACGAACGCUGGCGGCGUGCUUAACACAUGCAAGUCGAACGGUGAUGGGUGGAGCUUGCUCUGCUCUGAUCAGUGGCGAACGGGUGAGUAACACGUGAGUAACCUGCCCCAGACUCUGGAAUAACCCCGGGAAACCGGUGCUAAUACCGGAUAUGACACAGAAUCGCAUGGUUUCUGUGUGGAAAGUUUUUCGGUUUGGGAUGGACUCGCGGCCUAUCAGCUUGUUGGUGAGGUAAUGGCUCACCAAGGCGACGACGGGUAGCCGGCCUGAGAGGGCGACCGGCCACACUGGGACUGAGACACGGCCCAGACUCCUACGGGAGGCAGCAGUGGGGAAUAUUGCACAAUGGGCGCAAGCCUGAUGCAGCGACGCCGCGUGAGGGAUGAAGGCCUUCGGGUUGUAAACCUCUUUCAGCUCUGAAGAAGCGAAAGUGACGGUAGGAGCAGAAGAAGCACCGGCUAACUACGUGCCAGCAGCCGCAGUAAGAC